AUGCGGUCAGAGAUGUCCAGGUUGCAGGAGGAUGUGCUGUCCAUGAGUGCUAAACAAGGAGAAAUAGCGAAGCAAGUUGGGCGAGUAGAGCAGGUGGUCUUGGACCUGAGCAAGCAGCUGUCCACCAUCAGUUCAGUUUUGCAAUCGUUGGUCAAAACCACAUCCAAUCUUGCUCAGAAUGACAUACCAUCGAGUUCAAAUCAGGUUCCUAAGUCCCCAACACUGCAGCAAGAAAAUGUACAGGAUCAGCUGAGCCGAACAGAGCAGCUAAGGAAGCAACUUGAACUUGAAAGAGAGAAAUCUAAACAGAUCGAAGAGCAACUACAGACUCUGCCUCUAAUAAGAACUACCACAGCUCAGGCACCUCCAGGGUUUGCAAAUCCAAUUAGAACAGAUGUUAACCAGAAUAUAAGCACACCAUUAACGGCAAGAGAGCAAGUGCCUACUCCAGUCUUCAACAGAUUUUAUCAGCAGAACAGAGAAAGGCAAAUGUGGCAGGGAUAUCACAAAAACUAUGAACAAGAGAUGCAAGCACAAUUCAUGAGGUCAUUAACAAAAGGGCCUAAACUGGAUUUUCCAAGGUUUUUGGGCGAGGAUCCAGUGGGGUGGUUGAGGCAAUGCAAUAAGUACUUUCAAAUAUGA
rnacentral:rRNA from 1 species